rnacentral:tRNA from 1 species
CGGGUAUUCGAAGCGCUCCCCCGCAGGUCAGCGUUCCCCCAGCUCAACACCCAGCCUCGCCAGAGACUUCCCAAGCUGACAGCGCGGGUUCGAUUCCCGUCACCCGCUCCA